UACGAAGGAUGCAAGCGUUAUCCGGAUUCAUUGGGUUUAAAGGGAGCGUAGGUGGCCUUAUAAGUCAGUGGUGAAUACUCUCGGCUUAACCUGACGAAAUUGACCAUUUGACUACUUGUAGGCUUGAGGUAUAGUUGCCGUUGGUCGGAAUAUGACAUGUAGUGGUGAAAUACAUAGAGAUGUCAUAGAACACCGAUUGCGAAGGCAGCUGACGAAACUAUAACUGACACUGAGGCUCGAAAGUGCGGGGAUCAAACAGG
rnacentral:rRNA from 1 species